GGGCCCGCACAAGCGGUGGAGCAUGUGGUUUAAUUCGAUGAUACGCGAGGAACCUUACCAGGGCUUAAAUGCAAAACGACAGAUCUGGAAACAGAUCCUUCUUCGGACGGAUUGCAAGGUGCUGCAUGGUUGUCGUCAGCUCGUGCCGUGAGGUGUCAGGUUAAGUCCUAUAACGAGCGCAACCCCUACUGUUAGUUGCCAGCAUGUAAUGAUGGGGACUCUAGCAGAACUGCCGGCGUAAGCCGCGAGGAAGGUGGGGAUGACGUCAAAUCAUCACGGCCCUUACGUCCUGGGCUACACACGUGCUACAAUGGCAUGGACAAAGAGCAGCCACCUGGUGACAGGGAGCUAAUCUCUAAACCAUGUCUCAGUUCGGAUUGAAGUCUGCAACUCGACUUCAUGAAGCUGGAAUCGCUAGUAA
rnacentral:rRNA from 1 species